AUACCUGAUGAGAAAAUGAUAGGUGAUGUAGAGAUGUAAUGUAUAAGCUUUGACGGGAGUUAAACUGGAUCUUAUAUAUAUUUUUAAAGUGUAUUGUACGUGGGAUAGGCUCCAGCGCACCGCGCGAGCCUGAAAAAAGGAUAAGCGGAAGCGAAUGGAUGGACGGAUGGUGUAUUGUACGUGUUACAAACCAAUGUGAUAUUUUUUAAAUGAAAGGAUUGAGAGAAUGGUAAAAAGGAAAAUGCAAAAAUGUAGUUAGAGAGGAAGAUGAACACUUACCGAGUGAUAUGCACAUAGGGAAAGCGACGCGAGUUGUUGUUGAUCCCUGGUUCUCGGUUGUUGCGAGCUCGUUUCCCGCAGGCUCUUCUGCACUUCGGGUGUAGCGAUGAGGCUCAAAACACCCCAAUUAGACAAAGAGUGGCGGCAGGGCAGCGGGGCACCUGGGAGGCGGAGUGGAUCUCCGGCGCAAAUUUCAAACGAGGUAAGCAGCAUUCGGGGAUGAGCCGGGGAACGAACAAGAAGGAAAAAGAGAAUGCUCUGGUUGCGGGCCGGUGCGGCUCGGAGCGAAGGGAGAACUUAGACUCUGAGCGGGAUUUGAGAAAAAAAGACUAAGGAUUUGGUUUCAGGAUUUGCCCUGUUAUCGAAUAUAAGGUUUUGGGUAUACGGGGGUUCCCUACAGGUUAUUUCUAGGGGUUUUUUGUUUUGCGUAUUUUGGAGAGAAACCGCGGAGGUUUUUUUUUUUUUUUUUUCAGGAGGAUUGGCCGGUUAUGUGCCUAAGGAUCGCGAGUAAGAACUUAGACACGGAGCUAGUGAUAGGGCUGUUUUUUGAGAAAAAAAGACUAAGGCUUUUGUUUCAGGAUUUGCCCUGUUAUCGAGUAUAAGGUUGGGGAUAGGAGGGUGCCUACAGGUUAUUUCUAGGGGUUUUGGAGAAAAAACGCGGAGGGUUUUUUGUUUUGUUUUGUUUUUCAGGAGGUUUUUUUUUGUUGUUUGUUUUUUUGCUGUAAGCCGCUGGGAGCCGCGGUGCGUUUAUGAUCGCGAGAGUUUUUUGCGACUCGGACUUUGAUUUUAAAUUUCUUUGUUCGGAUUAAACAAAUGCAUAUAAAUUGAAAUAAACUUUUCCCACAAGGCAUGCACCCUGUAUGUCUGGCCAUACUGAACGUUACAAAAGCACAAGUUUAACUAAGCACAUUUAUACUGGUUUAACACAUUUUCACCCAUAAACACGAAGCCCCCACAGAAGCACGGUCCCGAGUCAGGCGCGCGCACGAGCGCGCCUAGACACACAGGCGCGCUCGUGCGCGCCCUGUGCACUCAUGCGCUGUCAUGCGCUGACCCACCACCAGAUGGCGUUUCUUUAGGGAAAAAAGGAAAAAGUUUUUAAUGGAUUAAAAAAAUAAAAGAAUGCUAUUUGAUAUAAAAACUUUUCUAAAAUAAGCAAUUAGUUCUUAUUUUUGGGGGAAGAAAAGCAAUGAACUAGCAUAUUUUGGAUGAAUAUCAUACUUUUAUGAAAAUCAUAAUUUUUAUGAAUAUCAUAAUUUAAUUAUUAUCAUAAUUUAAUUACUUCCUGAGCUCAUGAAUAAUUCAUAGAACCUAACACUCAAAAAGCUCAUGAAUAUUUU
rnacentral:lncRNA from 1 species